CCUACGGGUGGCUGCAGUGGGGAAUAUUGGACAAUGGGCGAAAGCCUGAUCCAGCCAUGCCGCGUGUGUGAAGAAGGCCUUCGGGUUGUAAAGCACUUUCAGUGGGGAAGAAAGCCUUGGGGCUAAUACCCUCGAGGAAGGACAUCACCCACAGAAGAAGCACCGGCUAACUCCGUGCCAGCAGCCGCGGUAAUACGGAGGGUGCGAGCGUUAAUCGGAAUUACUGGGCGUAAAGCGCGCGUAGGCGGUCUGAUAAGCCGGUUGUGAAAGCCCCGGGCUCAACCUGGGAACGGCAUCCGGAGGGGUCAGGGGGGUGGGCGGGGGGGGGAGGUAGCAGCCCGGGGAGAGCGGUGAAAGGCGAAGAGAGGGGGAGGAAUCCGGGUGGAGAGGGCGGCCUUCGGAAUUGAGACGGCGGCUGGGGGGCGAAAGAGGGGGUAGAAAACAGGAUUGGAUACCCUAGUAGUC
rnacentral:rRNA from 1 species